ensembl:lncRNA
GUUUCGGCGGUGGCCCGUGGUCGCCGAGCUGGGCCGUCUCAAGGGCAGAGCGUGCAGCAGGUCGGGGCGGGCGUGAGGUGUGCGGAUCGAGGGCUCUAUUCUCAAGCCACUCUCGUCUGCUUUCGGACGGCUGGGGAAGAGACAGCGAACGGCUAGGCAGAGCUCCAUGCACCACACGCCUUUUCCUCUCCUCCCCUUUGGAGAAAAGUUGGCUUCUAGGACUGGUGGGUUUUCGAGAGGUGGCGGUGCGUUUAGAGGCUGCUUUACUAAGGUGCAAGAAGCCGGUUGACGGGCGACUUCGUAAGGCUGGUGCGGGGAGAGGAGGCCAGUUUGCAGAGUUAAAGCCUGACCCCCGGGGCCUGACGCGCCAAACUCGGGGGCUCCGGAGAAGCCACAGACGCCUCGGCGCACCUGUUGUCGCCGUCACUCAUCCCAGCCGAGCGGGCGGGGCGGCGUGGGCCGCUUGGCAGGGAACCGCCGCGCCGCCCCGUCCGAGCUCCGGCGUCCGCCUUAGGCCCGCGCCCGCUGAACACAGCCCGCCCGCUGAACACAGCCGGCCCGCCGCACAGCGGGUCAGCGAUGGAUCUACCUGCGAGCUUCCAGGGAUUGACUUCAGCUCCUGCUCCAUGCCAGUUUCAAGAUUCAGCCUUUUACUGCUGAGCCACUGGGGAACCCGUGUGCAAAGUGAACUGAAGAUUUUUGCAUGGAACCUGAAGCAAAUUAUCUAACAACAGGGUUCCAGGAAACCCUGGUUUAUCUCUCC